ensembl:lncRNA
AAAAGGCAAACGUGGAAGAAAAGUCCCCAUACUCCUCACACCUGAUAUGAUGACAUCAAUGGAUUUGCUCGUUGACACUCGCCGAAAUUGUGAAGUAUUAGAUGAAAAUCCUUUCAUGUUUGCGAGAACGAAAGCACUUACUCACAUCAGAGGGUCAGAUGUUGUUCGACAGAUCGCGCAGAGCUGUGGAGCAAAACAACCAGAAGCAUUGUCCUCUACUAAAUUAAGGAAGCACAUGGCCACCAUGUCCAAGAUCCUUAACUUAAAAGACAAUGAAAUGGAUAAUCUGGCAGACUUCCUUGGCCAUGAUAUUCGAGUGCAUCGCGAAUAUUACAGACUGCCUGAAGGGACGUUACAGCUGGCCAAGAUAAGCAAAGUCCUUAUGGCCAUGGAACGAGGACAGCUGUCAGAUUUCAAAGGAAGAAAUCUUGACGAAAUAAACAUUGAUCCACAAGAGAAUGUAGCUGUUGACAGUGAUGCAUCAAACAGUGAAGAUGAGGAUAACACGAGUGUGACAGAUGCUGCGUCAUCUGCUGCGUCAUCUGCUGCGUCAUCUGCUGCGUCAUCUGCUGCGUCAUCUGCUGCGUCAUCUGCUGCGUCAUCUGCUGCGUCAUCUGCUGCGUCAUCUGCUGCGUCAUCUGCUGCGUCAUCUGCUGCGUCACCUGCUGCGUCACCUGCUGCGUCACCUGCUGCGUCACCUGCUGCGUCACCUGCUGCGUCACUCUUAUCGACAAAAUCUUCAGGGGCAUCACAAACCACAAGAAGGAAGUGGACUGAAGCAGAAAUAAAGGCUGUGGAGAAGACUCUAAUGGAGUACAUCAGCUCUGGAAAGGUUCCUGGGAAGGCAGAGUGUCUCAAUUGUAUUGAGAGUUCACCAUUAGCAUUGAAAGAGAGACGUUGGGAGGGAGUUAAGUUUUACGUGAAAAACCGAAUUGAUGCUUUAAAGCGAGAGUCAGUGAAAAGAAGGUAAGAAGCUAAUGUCAAACAAAUGGAAUAUAAACAGCUUCAGUUACUGUUAAAAUUUUCUCAUGUUUAGAGAAAAAAAAAGAUUGCUCAUUUCUACCAGGCAAUUGUUACAGUGCUGGGUUGGGGACCCAGUGUUCUUUGUUAUUAUUUACUUUGAAGUUCUGUGCCUCAUGUGGAUGUGUUUUGCUUUGCCCUCGUCUUUGUGAUUUGUAUCAGCUGUGUUCCUCGUGUGUUCUGACGCUCCUUGUGUGUUCUGACGCUCCUUGUUAUUCCCCUGUGUAUUUAUGUCGGCGUCUCCCUCAGUUCCGUGUCGCAUCGUACCCUCACCUUGCUGUGUUUCCGCCCGUGUUUCCUCAGUUUGUAUUCUCAGUUUAAGUUAGUUUGUGUCCAGCAAUAAAGCUGCUUUUUCAGCUCACUUUCGUCUCCGUGAGUCUGCAUUUUGGGUCCACCAUUUCCUGCCCGUCUACACACAGCCAUGACAGCAAUGAUACAUUAGUAUUGAAAAGAUUGUUUUCUUUGCUGUUCAGGUUAACUUUGAGCAGGGAGAGUUCUUUUUUUAUACUGUGUGUAUAUAUAAAAGAAAAGUUGGAAAGCUAUGCUCUUUAGUUGAAACAUUUUUUUUAUUGAAAGCAGAGGCCAGUGCACAAAUUGUCCAGUGAACAAAUACAAGGGGUAAUGACAAAAUAACAAAAACAAUAUAAAACUCAAUAAAUGAAAAUUGUAGCAGAAACCAUUCUCUGAAAUCCAACCAGCACUUGAAAGCUUUUUCAUUAUACCAGCUUUGAUUACUCUGGGUUGUAAAUUCCUAUAUAUACACCCUCUAACUGUAAACGUGCAACAGUGUCACCUGGUGGUGGUUUGUGAAAAGACAUAAAAGCUGUGUCCCCACCAGGUAGAAAAACCUGACAAAAAUUGGAUUUUUUAAAUUUAACAAAUUGCGGUACCAAAAUAGAUGUUUGAUCCCUAAAAAAAUUAAGAGUUCAAAUUAUGCCUUAAUAAUACCUCUAUUACGUUUAGAAAUGUUGUGUCCCCACGCGUAACCUCCUAGAUGGAAGUCCCCACGUGACUGGAAAAACGUGUAUGUGUGUGUGUGUGUGUGUGUGU